UUGAAUGAGAUCUGGUGCCCUCCCUGGCAUGCAGGCUGCAUACACAACAAAUAAAAAAAAAAAAAGUUUAUGGAGAAACAAAUGCAUUCUUAUGAGAGUUUGUCCCUAAGAAAACCAAAACAAAAUCCUAAACUGGAGUUCAAAACCUUAAACAAAAUCCUAAAUUGGGUUUCUCAGUAUAUGCCUUUACUUUAAUAAUAUUAAGAAUUUUGAAGGGCUGGAGAGAUGGCUCAGCAGUUAAGAGCACUGGCUGCUCUUCAGAUGACCCCGGUUCACUUCCCAGCAUCCACAUGGCUGCUCACAACUGUCUGUUACUUCAGUUCCAGGGAAUCUGAUACCUUCACACCAAUGCACAUAAAGUUAAAUUAUUAAAAAAAAAAAGAAUUUCGAUGAAUCCACUGUCGGGAAGCAUUACAAUUCUAAUCUGUCAUCUUUCUAGCAUAUGAACAGUAACACUGACGUCACAAAGCCUUGUGUUUGAAUUCUUUGUUGAGAGACUGGAUGGUUGGGGUAUUGGGGAUCAGGUCCUUGCACAUGCUAGGCCCAAAGUCCACCACUGAGCUUACCUCCCCGACUGUGAAAGUCCUUCUGUACUAGAGUGCAAGCAUAUUUUCCCCAGACCAUUGUAGUGUGAAGACAAAUCCAGGGCCUAAGCAGAACUCUGAGCACCUAGCUCAUCUUAUCCAGGCCGUUUUGAUGACAGGCUCACUCUUAGACAUGGUUACAAUCCAGCAACAGCUGCCUCCUGAAGGAUCUGUUUAAAUGAAAUACAAUCUACCCGCCAUACCAUUCACGUAUUUAAAGCCCAUUCAGUAGUCCGGUUUGUUUAUAGUUCCAUAUCAUCACUAUAAUUAAUUUUAUCACUCUUAAAAGAAGCCCCAGGCUCGAUAGUAGCCACCUCCUACUUAUUUUUCUCCAGUUCCCCAGGCAUCUGAUAACCACUUGGGUAUUUGUUUUUCCUUCUGGAUUUGUCCAUGCUAGACAUUUCAUAGAAAUGGCGUGGCAUGGUGCUUUGAAGACUGACCUUUUUAUGACACAUCCUGUGUCACCAUUCCUUUAUACUGCUGAGUACUAUUCCAUUGUGUGGGCAUAUAUCACAUUUCAGAUCGUGGAACACUGAGUUAUUUUGACUUUUUUUUUAAAGAAAGUAUUUAUUUUUAAUAUUUUAUUUAUUUAUUGUGUAUACACACAGUCUUCUGCCUGCAUGCCAUGCCAGCGGAAGGCACCAGAUCUGAUUCAAGGUGGUUGUGAGCCACCAUGUGGUUGCCGGGAAUUGAACUCAGGACCUCCGGAAGAACAGUCAAUGCUCUUAACCGCUGAGCCAUCUCUCCAGCCCGAGUUAUUUUGACUUUUAACACUUCAAACUUUUGUUUAUUAGAUUCAUUUCCAGCAUUUCAGAUAUUGAUGCCCAGGCCGCAUUCUGUAUCUGGUCCAUCUCUAGGGGUGGCUUUAGGCAUUAGUGCUGUGCUUAAGGCAUCCCACUGGAUUCCAGUUGCAGUGAGGAUUGAGAGCUGGUACCUUAGAGACCUAACUCAGUGCCUGUGCAAAUUGGAAGUAUCCUGUGGGCAGUGAUUUAGAAAAGCUGGUUAGAAUGCCUUAGUUGUGAAAAGCUCUUGUGUUUGUUCACAGCCUGUGUUCCAAGUUAAGUUGGAGAAUGUUUAAAAUGCAGUAAAUAUGGCCUUUUGAUUUUGAUGAUGACCUUGUAAUCAACAGGCUUUCCCCAAAAGAACCAGUCAGGAGUGUGGAUAACCUGCGGUGAGGUCGUUGAGGAAUGGCAUAUAUAAAAAGGCUGUCUGCGGCCUAGAAAGCUGGCUCAAGAAUUAAGAGUGGAUCCGAAUUCCGUUCCCAGCACCCAAGUCGGGAGGUUUACAACUGUCUAUAACUCUAGCUCCAUAGGGCCUGAGCCUCUGACCUCCCUGGCACCUGCAUGCACUAGCAUAUACCCCCACACAGACUCAGUGAGAGCCAGGAGUGUGGUGGGUCAUUCCGCAAUUGCAGCCUCCUGAGGAGGAUUGCUGGCAGUUGGAGGACAGUCUGGCCUGCAGUGUAGAACCCUGUCUCCAGACACAGGAGGAGAAUGGAAUGCUCAUGCUGGGCUGGGUGUUGAAUGUGGAUUCCUGGACACUUUUCAUUCCUGUGCUUUGUUCUCUUUCUCCAAAGAAAACUCUACCUGAACUAACUUUUGAAUUGUGCCUGGCUGUUACAGGCAGCUGUAUAAUCCUGGCCACAGUGAUCAGUACUUAUAUUGCAGAGCUGUUUUCUGAUUCACUCAUUUGGAGCUAGAGGCAGGCUGACUCUGCUUGUGGGUACAUGAGGGGUGGGGUGGGGGCCUACUGGGUGUGCCCUCUGUGGCUGCCCUGUAUGGUCUUUGCACACCUCUGCCCUCACUCUUGCUUCUGCUCAAUGCUGCCCAGCAUAGCUGGUUGGGCUCCACCCCAGCCAUGCCAAUAGCUGCUUGUUGGGAUAUAUUUAGUCACCUGACAGGGAGCUAGUAAAAGUUUGACUCCUACUGCUUUAAGGUUUUGAAAAAUGGUAUCUUAUUUUUAUGUUUGUUGAGAGGAAGGACAUGGAUGUUGGGGGGCUGUGUUGAUUGUGUCUUUAAGUGACUGGCCCACUGAAAGGGGGCAUUGGAAUUUUCCUCUGUCAGAUCUGAUGGUCUUUUGCUGUCUUAGUGGGAAUUUGUAGAUUGCUCAUGGUUCAGAACCCAACCUCUGCCCAGCCCAAGGCAUUAAGUUGGAGGGGAAGUGGUUGUGGUUGGUGCCUGCUGGGAGCAGAGCCUUGCAGAGCUGUGGCCACCAGUGGCACUGCUGCUGCUGCUGCUGCUGUUCUUAGGGGUGACCAGGAUUGGACUCUGUUGUCUGUUCUGCUGUUCUUAGGGGUGACCAGGAUUGGACUCUGUUGUCUGUUCUGCUGUUCUUAGGGGUGACCAGGAUUGGACUCUGUUGUCUGUUCUGCUGCUCUUAGGGGUGACCAGGAUUGGACUCUGUUGUCUGUUCUGCUGUUCUUAGGGGUGACCAGGAUUGGACUCUGUUGUCUGUUCUGCUGCUCUUAGGGGUGACCAGGAUUGGACUCUGUUGUCUGUUCUGCUGCUCUUAGGGGUGACCAGGAUUGGACUCUGUUGUCUGUUCUGCUGUUCUUAGGGGUGACCAGGAUUGGACUCUGUUGUCUGUUCUGCUGUUCUUAGGGGUGACCAGGAUUGGACUCUGUUGUCUGUUCUGCUGCUCUUAGGGGUGACCAGGAUUGGACUCUGUUGUCUGUUCUGCUGCUGUUCUUAGGGGUGACCAGGAUUGGACUCUGUUGUCUGUUCUGCUGUACUGGGCCAGGCAUUUGUUUGUUUUUUGUUUUGUUUUUUUCUCGAGAGAGGAUUUUACACUAGCCCACACUGGCCUUAAACUGGUCUUAAACUCAGUACGCUCCUCCUCCUUCAGCUUGAGCUCACCUUGCCUGGUAAGCCACGGAAUAUUGUUUCCAUGAAUAGAGAGUAUUGGAAAAUCAUGACAUUUUGUUGUUAAACCAUUAAAGUCCUGGUAAUGAAAAUCACCCAAGGUAAACAUGCCAUUUUAUCUGUAGUAGGAAAAAGUGCCAAGUUUUGAGGGUUUUGUUUUUGUUGCUGGCAAUUCCCAAUGAAACAGUGAAACAUACAUGAAAAGAUACCUUUUAAAGAUCUGCUUUAUGGUGUGCUGCUGGCUUGGGGGUCCUGCACCAGCUCUUAUGUACCUAGUGGUUCCCAGGCUGAGAGCAGGCCUUCCCUAGAAAAAGUUUCACAUGUCACUAGAAAAUGUCUACCUGGUUUGAAGCAGUUGGUUCUGACUAAUCCAGGGGCCGCUCCCUGGAAUGUGGGGGGAGGCGACUGUGCACCUUAACACUCUUCUCAUUGACCUUGACUAGUACAGUCCUUUAUCUCCGGAUGUGGGUCAUAAUGGCUGCUCUAGGGAAAACCCUGGCUUUCUUCUGUCCCCACCUGCAGGAAGUCCAGAGCUCAAGAGGCCUGUGUCUUGUGUGCUUUAGUUGUUCAGAGUUCACAUGAUAAGGCCAUGGCUGAAAAAUAUCGGUGUGUGCACUGCAAAAGACAAAAGUAGAGAAAGGAGACACUCUUGGAUUUGUUACCAGCUCACCCCUCCCUGUGAAGAUAGUCAAUCUCUGGUGUCCCUCAGUGUCUCAGAGCGUGUAGUUCUAGAACCUGUGGGUACUAAACUCCUCAGAUGUUCAGAUCCUCCUUGUAAAAUAUGCAUACUCUAUACACAUCCUUUCUUAUUCUGUAAGUCAUCCUUAACUCCCUGAUGACACUACCUAAUGAAAUGUAAAUGCCCAUAAAGAGUUAGGGGAUAAUACAGCAUGUGUGGUACAGAGUCCUUUCGGUUGAAUCUGCAGUGUGAAAUCCUCGGAUAUGGAUGAACAACCACACUGCAGCAUGGCAGUUUCCGGGAUGGAGGAGAUUAAACUGUUUGUUGAAACCCUGCUAGUACCAGCCCCUAGACAUGUUCUUAACAAAAGUCUAAUAGAAGCUGGCAAGAUGGCUCAGUGGGAAAGUAAAGCACUUGCUGUGUGAGCCUGACAUCAUGAGUUCAGUCUCUAGAACGCAUGUAAAGGUAGAGGGAGAGAGCCUGCAAGCAGUCUUCCACGCAUGCACCAUGCAUGCAUGCACAUGUCCACAGACACAUGUCAUAUGACAAAAAUAAUGAGUCUAUGUAGAUAUCCCAUUAUAGAUGACAAAAGCUAUUUGGAGUGGUUAAGCUACUUUCCAGGAUCACACUGCAUGCAUGUGACAGAACGGGGAAUUUGCAUGUCCCUAGUCCCUGCUUUCUGGCUCCUGGUUUACUGCUUCACUCCCUUUUCAUUCUGUCCUUCUUGAAAGGUGAAAGUAUUUUCUUUUGUUAGCGGCCAGAUUGUGAAGGCCUCUUUACAGAGUUCCAAAGAGUUCUGCCAAAGGGGCGGUGUUUGCUCCUGUACCCAGCUUCUCUGUAGAGAACAAACCUAUAGUAUAGCAGCUACCAGCAGGCCCCACCCUCUGCCUCCUGUACUUAGAAGACUCCUGGCUGCAGAACACUGAUGGACAUUUUCUGCCUUGUUUGUAGGGAAACUCACCAUCUCCUCACAGAGUGAACUGCGUGUGCCUCUCAUUCUCAUGGAAUGGAGGCAAAGAAAGAGAGACUACAGAUAGCUCUAGAGACCAGGCACAUUGUCUUGAUUCAAGAAGAGCAACUGGCCCAGAUCCUUUCCCACUGAGGGCAGUGUUGCCUGACUUGCCAUGGUGGCAAAGUUAGGCUUGAAUGCUCUGUGAAGUCCAGGAUGGUCUUAAGCUCACCAAGUCGUCGGCCUCUGAGAUUCCAGGUCUGCAGCAUGUGCCAGCAUCCAGAUCGCAGAAUUCUCUUAGUGGACAUUUCAAGAUACUGUCACGUUUGUUCUCUUUUAAAAGCCAGUAUUAAGGCUGGAAAUCUAGUUUGGGAAUAGUAGAGUGCUUAUCUCGAUUGCACAAGGCCUGAGGCUCAGUCUCUAGCAGCAUAAACUACGCCUCCCAAAAGAUAAUUGUUUUUAUCUUGAAAGGUGUGUGGUGAAAGGGUGUAUGCUAAUAUUCUUACGAUGCAAUACAUCUUGUACUCAGUAAUGUUCAAAUAUUGCUAUAGGAAUAGAGUUAAGUAAUUUUUCUGUGACUGGCAUUCGGUCACAGAUGAUACGAAAAGUGUGCUUUGUUACUUUGGUCAUUUGAACUAUAACCUCAGACCUCCUGGUUUACAAUGAAAAUACUGGAUUCUGAGACUAAAUAAUGUGUACUUACUCAUUGCACAAAUAUGCAUGAGGCCUAAGCAUGAAGAUUUGCUGUAAUCUCUCAAGAUAGUGUAGCAACUGUCUUUGAAGGACAAGAAUUUCUGAAAUUGCUCUCUCUAGUUACUCUAACCCUUUGGCUCUUUGUACUGCUGAAUUACAGGGUGUGUUUUAUAUGAUUAGUGUGACUUCAGUAAUGGUGUCUCUUCUGCUGGGGUGUACAUUCUUAUGGUGCUUGGCAUUUGCUUAGUAAGCAGGAGGAGGGAGCCUCUACCAUCUAAGAGCUUGGUACUCAAUACAAACCAUGAGGCUUUGACAACACCUGAGAAAAUACCACUUCUGCUUGGCGUGCUUAGGGUGUCUAGAAGGGGGUAGCAUUUUCACGGGUUUUUGGAUUUUCUAGCCUGUAGAUUCAUGUUUUCAUUUUAGAGGCCCCUUAGUAAAGCUGAGAACAGAGCAAACAUGAGCAUCUAAUGUGGUGAGAAAGUUAACCUGGUCGGGUGGGGUGGGUGAGGUGAUGGGCGUCCAGUCACACUGAUUAUUAGUAUUUACCCAAGAAAGAGAAACACAUGAACUCUCUGACUUCUGUAGGCUUGGCAGAAGGGCCCCCAAACAAGCAGAUGUGGCAUGAUGGCAGUUGCAGUGUCCUGGGCUCUCCCGAGCCCUGAGCAUGGUGCUAUGUGCUUUAACAAACUACUUUUGUUGGGCACUAUCCUUUUACCCCCUGAAUGGAAGGAGCUUUCUUUCAGUAAAGGAGAGAGGCCUUGCAGAGAGACUUACGGUGGGUUUCAUUGUGGAUCAUCGUGUCUGUGAUGUGUCAGUAAAAUACUUCAGUGUGGGCUCUGGGAUG